rnacentral:pre_miRNA from 1 species
CUACAUCUACCCUGUAGAUCCGAAUUUGUUUGAAAUUUCGCGACAAAUUCGGUUCUAGAGAGGUUUGUGUG